UACGGAGGAUCCAAGCGUUAUCCGGAUUCACUGGGUUUAAAGGGUGCGUAGGUGGGCAGGUAAGUCAGUGGUGAAAUCUCUGGGCUUAACCCAGAAACUGCCGUUGAUACUAUCUGUCUUGAAUAUAGAGGAGGUGAGCGGAAUAUGUCAUGUAGCGGUGAAAUGCUUAGAUAUGACAUAGAACAUCGAUUGCGAAGGCAGCUCGCUACACUAUUAUUGACACUGAGGCACGAAAGCGUGGGGAUCAAACAGG
rnacentral:rRNA from 1 species